rnacentral:rRNA from 1 species
UACGAAGGGGGCUAGCGUUGCUCGGAAUUACUGGGCGUAAAGGGCGCGUAGGCGGAUACUUAAGUUAGAGGUGAAAGCCCAGGGCUCAACCCUGGAAUUGCCUUUAAUACUGGGUAUCUUGAGUUCGGGAGAGGUGAGUGGAACUCCGAGUGUAGAGGUGAAAUUCGUAGAUAUUCGGAAGAACACCAGUGGCGAAGGCGACUCACUGGCCCGAUACUGACGCUGAGGCGCGAAAGCGUGGGGAGCAAACAGG